rnacentral:tRNA from 1 species
CCGGGAACUUUAGCUUGGUAGAGCCCUUGGUUCAGGACCAAGGUAUUGCAGUUUGAACCUUGUUUUCCCGAU